rnacentral:rRNA from 1 species
UACGGGGGGGGCAAGCGUUGUUCGGAAUUACUGGGCGUAAAGGGCGCGUAGGCGGUCAGCACAAGUCAGUUGUGAAAUCUCCGGGCUUAACUCGGAAAGGUCAACUGAUACUGUGCGACUAGAGUGCGGAAGGGGCAACUGGAAUUCUCGGUGUAGCGGUGAAAUGCGUAGAUAUCGAGAGGAACACCUGCGGCGAAGGCGGGUUGCUGGGCCGACACUGACGCUGAGGAACGAAAGCUAGGGGAGCAAACAGG